AUACGUAAGGGGCGAGCGUUGUUCGGAAUUAUUGGGUGUAAAGGGCGCGUAGGCGGUCUUGCAAGUCUGGUGUUUAAGGCUACGGCUUAACCGUGGUUUGGCGCUGGAAACUGUUAGACUUGAGUUUAGGAGGGGGAGCUGGAAUUCCAGGUGUAGGGGUGAAAUCUGUAGAUAUCUGGAAGAACACCGGUGGCGAAGGCGAGCUCCUGGCCAUAAACUGACGCUGAGGCGCGAAAGCGUGGGGAGC
rnacentral:rRNA from 1 species